CCCUUAGAUGUUCUGGGCCGCACGCGCGCUACACUGAUGCAUUCAACGAGUCUACAACCUGGUCUGAUAGGGCUGGGUAAUCUUUUGAAUGUGCAUCGUGAUUGGGAUAGAUGAUUGCAAUUCUUCAUCUUCAACGAGGAAUGCCUAGUAAACGCAAGUCAUCAGCUUGCAUUGAUUACGUCCCUGCCCUUUGUACACACCGCCCGUCGCUACUACCGAUUGGACGGUUUAGCGAGGCCCUCGGAUCGGUACCAGGACUCCGUCAGGAGUGACUGGCAACCGAGAAGGCGGUCGAACUUGACCGUCUAGAGGAAGUAAAAGUCGUAACA
rnacentral:rRNA from 1 species